GGCCACUCAUGUUUGGACUUGGUUAGAAGAUGGCGCUUGUCACAUUCCAAAUAUAACAAAAAUGAGGCUUUAUUAUUAUUCUGUGGGGUAAAUAUGAAUGUUUUUGUCCUUCCUUUGGAUAUGAUACUGGAACAAAGAUAAUGGCAUUUACAUAUCAAAGAGAUUGGCUCAUCACUUACAAAGUACAUGCCAAAUGGAUGAAGAGACAUUCAGACUUUUCCAAGUGUAGAA